rnacentral:tRNA from 1 species
GCCGAGAUCGCAUAACCUGGUAGUGCGCCAGCCUUGAGAGCUGGUUUCCGAAAGGAUAUCUGGGUUCAAAAGAAGCCUUUUCUUGUAAGAAAAGCCUUCAGGGAAAAGAACACCCUGAAGAAAGAAAAGGAACUGAAAGUCCCAGUCUCGGCG